rnacentral:lncRNA from 1 species
GUUACUCUCACGCGCCAGUCUGGGUUCAGAUCAGUUCUGUUCUCUGGUCUCCCGAGGCCCUGGGUUUAUGGGGUCCCCCAGACAGAAGCUUCCCCGCCCCCAGCGGGUCUCCACUGAAUCAGCGGCAGGAGUCCUGGAUGAUCCCCCGGUCGUGCGGCCCCUCCCCCUCCUUCCCGACAUGGGCAGCAGCGAUCGCAGACUCUAGGGGAGGGAGCGAUGUUCUCUCCUACCGUUCCAGCCCUCCGAGGCCUUCUGCAAGGUUUAUGAUCUCCGCCUUCUUGUACUGCAACUGUGGGCUGUUACAGUCACAGCUACUGCUGAACUAUGGAAUGAGGGAUCAAACUAGUCUCGCUGCGGGGCGACAUGGAGAGAAGACACAGGGGACAAGGAGCGUUUCUUUUUCUUCUGUGAAGAUCACAUCUCAAGCCACUACAAACAGCAAGUUUAGGAAUAGAGAUUGCAGAAAUUAUUCAUCAUCUUACUGUCCCUGUAUUUCCAAGUGACACUAAUUUAAUAAAGUCACUUAAAUAUCUAAGCUAAAAAACUUAAUGUUUACAUUGGCACUGCCCAUCUUUCAUUGUCCAUGACAAUUUCUGUGAUAUUGCACCUGAACUACUUCUGAAAGUGGUCAUAUUUUCUCCAUUCCCAAAGUAACUACUCACUUCAGAUUAUACAUAUCGUUCUGUUUUGGAAUUGUUAUUACUGAUAUUAAAUAUCCAGACUUAUUUUUAUAUACUUCAAAGUAGAAACAUGGUGUACUUGUUUUCAACUAUUUGACCAUAAAACAUCUGGCGAUUGUUAUGUUAUCUUAUUGACAGAAACCACACACAUUUUUCUUCAUUACUUCGUUCCCUCUAGGAAAACCCGG